CUGUGCUAGACGGGGAAUUAGCGGUUUCCUGUUACCUGAAAUCCGCUCAUGCAGGGUUGAAUUCCGUUGAGAGGGUUUUGCUGAAUUUAGUUCAUAUGAUAAGCGGUGUUGAAAUUUUCAGCUUUACGCAAUGAGUUGGUCUCAAACCCCGUCAGGUCCGGGAGGAAGCAGCGGUAGUGAUUUUCCUCAUGUGCCGUGAAUUCCUGGAAACGAGUUGGCUGUGAUAUGAACUAUUUGUCCAGAAAAUUCAAUUUGCGGUGCACAG
rnacentral:SRP_RNA from 1 species